CCUACGGGAGGCAGCAGUGAGGAAUAUUGGUCAAUGGACGAGAGUCUGAACCAGCCAAGUAGCGUGAAGGAUGACUGCCCUAUGGGUUGUAAACUUCUUUUAUAAAGGAAUAAAACGAGGCACGUGUGCCUUUUUGCAUGUACUUUAUGAAUAAGGAUCGGCUAACUCCGUGCCAGCAGCCGCGGUAAUACGGAGGAUCCGAGCGUUAUCCGGAUUUAUUGGGUUUAAAGGGAGCGUAGAUGGGUUGUUAAGUCAGUUGUAAAAGUUUGCGGCUCAACCGUAAAAUUGCAAUUGAUACUGGCAGUCUUGAGUACAGUUGAGGUAGGCGGAAUUCGUGGUGUAGCGGUGAAAUGCUUAGAUAUCACGAAGAACCCCGAUUGCGAAGGCAGCUUACUAAACUGUGACUGACAUUGAUGCUCGAAAGUGUGGGUAUCAAACAGGAUUAGAUACCCCUGUAGUC
rnacentral:rRNA from 1 species